GACGAACGCUGGCGGCGUGCUUAACACAUGCGAGUCGAACGGAAAGGCCCUGCUUUUGUGGGGUGCUCGAGUGGCGAACGGGUGAGUAACACGUGAGUAACCUGCCCUUGACUUUGGGAUAACUUCAGGAAGCUGGGGCUAAUACCGGAUAGGAGCUCCUGCUGCAUGGUGGGGGUUGGAAAGUUUCGGCGGUUGGGGAUGGACUCGCGGCUUAUCAGCUUGUUGGUGGGGUAGUGGCUUACCAAGGCUUUGACGGGUAGCCGGCCUGAGAGGGUGACCGGCCACAUUGGGACUGAGAUACGGCCCAGACUCCUACGGGAGGCAGCAGUGGGGAAUAUUGCACAAUGGGCGGAAGCCUGAUGCAGCAACGCCGCGUGCGGGAUGACGGCCUUCGGGUUGUAAACCGCUUUCGCCUGUGACGAAGCGUGAGUGACGGUAAUGGGUAAAGAAGCACCGGCUAACUACGUG
rnacentral:rRNA from 1 species